GCUGAUAUGGCCGAGUCGUUAAGGCGAGUGAUUUGAAUUAUUAUCGUCACGUGACUCAUUUGUCACGUGACACGGUUCACUAUCACUUGGGAUUUUCCCGCGUAGGUUCAAAUCCUGCUGUCAGCG